UCUAUUAUUUGAAAAUAUAAAAAAAAAAAGAGAGAAAAAAGUAGUGUGAUUUUAUAUAAUCUAUUGUUUCGUAGAGAUUCAACACCUACAAAAGUUUAUCUAGGAAUAUCAAUGAUAUACAUAGGGAAUCAGACGAAUAUUAUGUUAUUAUAACCUUUUAGAUAAACAUAUAAAUGGGUUAAGAUUCUAAAAUCUUGUGUACAGCCAGCAGGCAGGUAACGAGUGGGUCCUAGCUAAUAAUAAGAUGGGCU
rnacentral:lncRNA from 1 species